rnacentral:misc_RNA from 1 species
GGAAUACUUAGUUGGUCCUCGUUUGCCUUUGAAAUCGUCUGCCGUUAAGGAACCUCCCACUCUUUCUCAGCAGCAGUCUGUUGCCAAACAGUUGCAUGCUGUUGUGAUUCUUUACAACUACUACCAGAGGAAGGAAGAUCCGCAGGCACAGUAUUUAGAUUUUGAAUCAUUUUGCAAGUUGGCCAUGACUCUGAAACCGGCUUUGAUGUCAU